GCUAUGAGCUAUGAGGGGUAAUAAAAAAGCUGAGCCACAACAGCUUAAGUCAUAGCCUCACCCAUAGAAGCCAAGAAUGCACCUCUUGGUGAUUUUAGAACCCAGCAACCAUACUGGAUAAUUCUAAAUAUCUGCAAGUGAGUUAAGGUUCCCAAACGUGGAACAAACCCAAGAAAAGGUGCAUUUUCCUUGGGUUUUG
rnacentral:sRNA from 1 species